UAUCAGGUUGUGCCCGCACGCGUGCCCGAUACCUGGCAGCGCGUCGUACUCGCACAGGAACCCCACGUUCAGCACCGGCUCGCCCUCCCCGCCACCGACCGGACCCCAGAUGGCCCGGAAUGCGGUCGGUAGCUUGUAGUGACUUUCGACCCUCCAUGUCUGCUCCUGCGAGAAGAAGCGGACCAGCCUCUCAUGCGCAUGCGUCUCGUUUCCUGCGAGUUCAGGUCGGCUCCAAAUGUCCCGACCCAAACUAUGCAGAUCGUCUUUACGUCUGUCUAUGCACAGCUGGAGGGUGUCCUUCAUCUGCUGUCGCUUCACCAUGUCGUCUGACAGUCUUGAAGUUUCACUCAUAGACACAUUUUACUCCAGGUGUAAAGAGAGAGCUGCGUAUGUGAGCAGAGAUAUCCCUACAGCCUGGACCAUCCUGAUGGCUGCACGGACCUUAUAGUGACCAAAGCACUUCCAACCUGCUGAUAGCAACGAUCAGAUACUGAGCUCCCAGUUUCUCCUCCUAAAAAAGGACUCCAGGUAUUUUCAGAUAGACAUGAGAUUGGUGCUGCAGUACUUUUCUUUACAUUUUGUGACUUGCACAGAAAAUAUGUUGGCCUGUGCUUUUGUAUAUCUUCACUCGAUGCAAAUCUGUUAUCUUUCUCCACUUUAGUGCAGUAUUGUGAAAACACCUCUUUUGUUAGCACCAGACUCUAAAUUAAUCUCUUUGAAGCUGGAUCACCAUCUGCUGUCCAGAUUCACACUCUUUUUUUUUCUCCUUCUGGUUAACUGUUGAAAGAGCAGCCUGUAACUACACAGCUUCCAUCAAACUGUGUCUAAAUAAUGAAUGCUAUUUAAUUUAAAUCUGGAUCUUUGGAUAGGGAAUUGACAGUAACAUUGUCAUCCUAACAUUACAAAGCUCCAGAAACACAACCCUAAACAAACCAAUUCAUGCUUCUCCACUUUGAUUUGCUUUUAUCAAGAUAAAUCACAAGCCUUCUGUCCUGCCUGUGUGAUGUGCUAUAAUGCGAGUAAAUGGAAGCUGUCUCUUACCACACUAGAGGGACCCAGAGUGACACACUUUGGUAAAAGGCUCCUUUUGCACAUGGUUCUGCAUUCAUUUGCAGUGAGAAUACAUCAGUAUUCUCCUCCAUUUCAUGUUUUACCUUGAACACUUCAUUGAACUGAAAAUGAAUAUG